GGUGCUACCACGGCGAGGAAUCUUCUCACAGCUACUUUAUCUUGAGGAGAGUGAACACAAAUUGUUCCAAUUGACUAGAUGUAAGUUGUUUUGUAGAAGUUUUGUUUUUUUUUAGGAUUAUUACCGGAUCACCUGGCUAGAGCAAAACAACUGGAACUCAUGAAUUAUGAAGGCGUAAUCAAAACCUCAGGUCGGGUCGGAUGGACAAACGAUAAAUACCUACGACUCUAACUAGGAAAAGCGAAUGUAAACAUGAAAAUACUUGGAUGCAACCAAAAACAAACCAUUUUACAGACGAGCCAGGAUUUUAAACCCACUGAUAAUAAAAGGGCGGAACGGAUCUAAAUGCAUUCGUCUACUAUUCACGACUUGAAUUAUGUUGACUGAUGUUGAGGACUCGGAAGUUACAUAAGGAUUAGGGAUGCUGUGCUGAACACGGAUAAACACAAGAAAAUAAGGAGAAACUAACAGGAUUACAUGGAGGACGAAUGAUAUCACAAGUUCAUUGGAUUCCAAGGACUACGAAAAACCAACAGAUAUAUACAUGUCGCUCUGCUUUCCCGGAUGGCGAAGCCAUGCCGAUUGAUUUGGUCUCUUCCUUAUGGAUAAGGGAAAGGCCACCCUCGGUCCCAUAGGAAAACCAUCGGUACGAAAAAUGAACGGGCUCUGUUGAAGCUUCCCAGCCAUUAUGCUCCAUCAUUAGAAUAACUAUGCAAUGCAAUAAAAUUGUUAUAAGUGAUGCAA